rnacentral:lncRNA from 1 species
UUACUCUGACUUUUCAGUCAUAGUGUAUGAAAUGACAGAUUAGUAUAUUUUUACGAAUGUACAAUUUUUUAUUUGCAGAUAAUAUCUGGAAAAUGAUCUGGAUACCUAAUAAUCUGAAUUCAUUAAGUUUACUUUCAUUUUAAAUCACUUAAUGCAGCUGACAUAAACGACAUUUUUUAAAUUCCCGUGUCUACUUACGUUUAAUUUGUUGUCUUUCGGAAAAAUAUAGUGAGACACAUUUUUUUUAAGGGUUUUCCAAGGAGAAUGGAAUGGAAGUCAUGAACACAUUACCUCAAACUUCAUGCAACAAAGAACAACAAAUAAGUCCAAAAUCAGGAGAAAGAACUUUCCAAAAUUCAAUUUGUUCUAAAAAUUGUUCUGACAAAUAUAAAUUAAAUAAAAAUACAAACCUUCUGACUAGAGAAGGACUUCAGUCAACGUGAAAUAUUAUGUUGCAAGCAAUUUUCUCAAAAAGAUGCUUUAGAAUGUGUCACAUAAAUUUGUUUUAAGCAAUUUAGUCAAGCAGGUCAUUUGAAAGAACAUUUGAGAGUACACAAUAGAGAAAAGCCUUACAAGUGUUAAUUUGUUUUAAGCAGUUUAGCCGAGCGAGUAAUUUAAGCCCGACCGCACAUCAAAGAAACAUGAAACGUAAAUUACGUUUCAUGGAAAUAAACCACUGCUAAACAAAUAUACGUCCGGCCAUUUAUGAAACUCUCCGAAAAUAAAAAUGUGUCAUGAGCAUGAAUCACACUCGUUUCAUUGUUAGGCGGACUUUGAGAUUUGUUUAGCAGUGUUUUAGUUUCAUGAAACAUGUUUUUCGUUUCAUGUUUCAUGUUUUUCGUUUCAUGCUUCUUUGGUGUGCGGCUUGGCUAAAAGAACAUUUGAGAGUGCACACUGGAGAAACGCCUUACAAGUGUGAAAUUUGUUUUAAGCAGUUCAGGCAUAAAAUUUGUUUGGAUCGGCAUACGAAAGUUCACACUGGAGAAGCGUCUUACAAGUGUGAAAUUUGUUUUAAGCAGCUUUUUCGAAAGGAUUGUUUAAAAACACAUUUGAGGAUAGCCACUAUGUAGAAACGCCUUACAAGUGUGAAAUUUGUUUUAAGCAGUUAAUCAGAAAAGUAUGUUGAAAACACAUUUGAGACUACAAUCUGGAGAAACGCCUCAAAAGUUCAAAUUUUUUUUAAGCAGUUAAGGCAUAAAAUUUCUUUUGGAUGCGCACACCAAAGUUAGUUCACACUGGAGAAACGGCUUCUUUACAUAGUGCUGUCGCCAGGGGGGGGGGGGUACAAUGGACUCCUUUAUUUAGAUAGACUUACCAAGUUUUUUUAUGUAUUCUGAGCCGCAAAACACGAAUUUUUUGGGUAACAGUUGAUUCGGAUGUUGAUAAGAUUGUUAUAAACAAAGAACUUGUAGAAUUACAUAACAGCGAUUUUUCGCAAAACAUUUUUUUGUAUUUUUUGGGUCAUUCUAAGCAAAAAAUGUUCUUAAUACAAGUUUUUUCAAAGGAUUCAUGGUUUUUAAGAUAAAUGCGACUGAACGUUCAAAAAAUCGAAAAAUUGCAAUUUUUGAACCCAAAUAACUUAACCAAAAAAUAAAACAGCAAUGCUGCUUGCAGCAUUUGAAAGCUCAAGUGAAAUUAUACCGGUUUUGAUUAUUUGCAUUGCCAAAAAAUUAUUUUUUUUUAUUAAACAAACCUAAAACAUAUACCUAGUGCUUGGGUAAUGGAAGUAGGGGAGCAAAGUAUGCUAAAUGUGCAGUCACUCGAGCGUUAUGGGGACCUAUUGGGUUUUGAAGAAUAGGUCCUAAAACCAAAAAAAGUUAAGUAAAGUUUUUUAUUUUAGUGGGCGCUUGCUAUUUUUUAAUUUAUGUUGCCAUUUCCAACCAUCGUUUUUUCCGAUUAUAACGCCAUCUAUCCAUAAUUCGAAAAAAUGUUUCGAAUAAAAUUUACUUAUUUUUACGCAAGGAAUCCAAAUCUGCAAUAAAAAAUGGGGGCUCCUAUUUAAGAUUUUAAAGUAACCCCCCACCCCACCUCCGUGGGGGGUCGUGUUUGGUGCGAUUCGAUAGAUUUUUCAAAGAUAUUAAUAAUAAUAAUAAUAAUGGAGUUUAUUUGUAGCAAAUGAAUUGUACAUUAUAAAAUAAACUCAGUUCCUCACUGAAGUUGUAUGUACAACUUGUGCGUGAAGGUUCAAUUUUGAUUAUAAAACAACACUAAAUAAUUUUAAAAUUUACAAAAAGGAAUAAAAAAUAGUCUUUUUGCUCAUCUCUUUUCAAAUUUGGGUAUUUUACAGUAUUAAAUUGAAUAAGUGUAUUUUACAGUUUUUCGAUCUGAUGUUUAUUUCGCGAAAUAUCGCGGGAUUCGUAUUUAAAAUAUUAAAUUUACCCCCACCCCUCUCCGUGGGAAGUCAUGUUUGGUAUCAUUCGAUAGAUUUUUAAAAAAUAUUGAGCACAUAUUUUUUAGUUUUUCGAUCUGUCAUUCAUUUCGCGAAAUAUUCGCUUUUUUCUUAUGAAACUUUGGGACUCACCCAUUUCCUACGCCCGGCUCAAAUCGUCAGAUUUUUGAAAUAUACACUCUUUUGCAUGUACUUAACUUACCUUAUCUUAAUCUGACAAUUUCGUGUUUUUUUAAGGAUAGGUUUUUUUUCGGGCCCCCCUUAACGAACUCCCCUGUGUUAAGAGCCAAUAUGGUAGAGGUACAUCUGCAGGGUACCAGGUUUCUCCCCAUAUGAUAAUCUGACGCGCUCGAGUAACUGCAAAAAUCCCCGCUUGGGCUCCCCUACCAUAAUGUAAUACAUUUCUCAUUUAAAAUCGAACGAGAAGAGUUCAGGCUGUAUCGUCCCCCCGUUAGGUAAAUUAUUCCGAUUCGAUUUUUUUGCACAAAAUUACUCAAAAAGAGGUCCUUAUAACAAAUCCACAGGGUGCCAGACGAUACCGUGGUCUAAAAAUUGUUUAAACAAUUUUUUUAAACAAAUUCACAAAACUAGUUUUUUUACUUCGAACAAAUUCUUUUAUAUCAUUUGGGUCACUCUUUUCAUUUUUGUCUAAAACUGACUGUUAAAGAGUUAUACGCGGUUUAAAAUUUGAAAAUCGCGAAAAAUGCCAUUUUCAAGGAUUAAUAACAAGGUUAAAAAGUAUUAUUAUGAAAGUCAGGAAGUCACCAAAUCAAAGUUUAAAGUCUGCCCUACAAGAUCCUGAAAAAAUUAGUGUCAUUAUUGCAUUACUAAGCGUCUAUUUUAAUUAAUAACAAUGAGCGCUAAGCGCAUAUUAGGUGGCCGUCCAAUGGUGAAUCUCACUCGCACUCACAUUGACGGCCACCUCAAUACGCUCUUAACGCUCAUUGUUAAUAGUUAAAAAUAACAGCUUAAUAAUAAAAUAAUUAUUUAGUUAUUAAGCCUUAAAAAUGGCCAUUUUCGCGUUUCAAAAAAAAUUUAAUACAGAUUUUUCGACCACGGUACCGUCUGGCACGCUGUGGAUUAGUAAGGUUGUGCAAAAAAAUAGAAUCGGAAUAAUUUACCUAACGGGGGCGACGAUACAGCUGGACUAUAGGUACAAGUGCAAGCGCCUGCAAACAGGCAAUUUUUACAUAGCAUGCAUUGGGCACGCACCAAAACGCUCAAACAGUAUUUGUUUAUACAUAUGUAGCUUUGUUUAACAAUAAAAAAAAUAAUUUUUAGUAAUGCAAAAUAAUCAAAACCGGUAUAAUUUGACUUGAACUUUCGAAUGCGGUAAGGAGAAUUGAUAUUUUAUUUUUAACCAAAGUUAUUCGGGUUCAAAAAUUGCAAUAUUUAAUUUCGAUUUUUUGAAAGUUCAACCGCGUUUAUCUCGAAAACUAUGUAUCCUACGAAAAAACUUGUAACAUUUUUUGCUUAGAAUGACCCAAAAAAUACAAAAAAAUGUUUUGUUUUGCGAAAAAUUGCUGUUAUGUAAUUCUGCAAGUUCUUUGUUUAUAACAAACUUGUCGACAUCCGGAUAAACUGUUACCCAAAAAAUUCGUGUUCUACGGGUAAAAAUACAUAAAAAAAACUUGAGUAAGUCCAUCUAAAUAAAUGAGGCCGUUAUACCCCCUCGAGCGACGACAGCACUAACAAGUGUGAAAUUUGUUUUAAGCAGUUUAGCUACGUAAGUAAUUUUUCCACCUACCUCUACGGAAAGUAUACUUUUCCGGACCUGAAUUUAGGGAGCAAAGUUGUACUUUUUCUCCCUAGGGAGGAAAAUAUUUUUCCUCCCUAGGGAGGAAAAGUAAAAGUGACGUCAUGGUAUUUCAUUCAUGAAAUAUAACUUAUUGACGCCCUGUACAAUAUCUAUUUUCUAUUACGUAAGUAUCUAUACAUUUUAACAUUUAUUUAUAAAACACCCUGUAUUUUGCAGAAUGGUAAAAAACAGUAAAUUGUUAUUUUGAUUAUAACAUGGGAGUAAAGUGCCUUUUCCUCCCUUAAAUGAUUACUUCAUUCUCUGCAGGAAAAGUAGCACUUUCCUCCCUUGUCAUACAAAUAGCUAUUAAAGCACAUUUGAGAGUAGAGAAAAAUAUUACAAGUGUGAAAUAUAUGUUUUAAGAAGUUCAGUCAAGUAGAUAAAAUGAAACUACUUGAGAGAUUGCAUGGUGGAGAAAAGCUUUAUAAGUGUGGACAUUGUUAUACAUAUUCAGUAUGCUAAUAAACAAUUUUCAUUGUACUAUAACUAAUUUUCUUAUUUGUUACGACUACAUUAUAUUAUGGUGUAAAUAAAUAAUUAUUGAUUGGUGUAA